AAAUGAUCCGUUGCUUCUCAACUACGGCUGUUUAAGUAGUGAUCUUUUUCUUCUGGACUAUGGAUUCGUCAUUCCAUCAAACCCCUACGACUGCAUCGAACUUAAAUAUGAUGCUGCUCUUCUUGAUGCUGCCAGUAUGGCUGCAGGGUUUACAUCCCCAAACUUCUCCUCGCCAUCCCCAUGGCAGCAGCAGAUUUUAUCGCAUUUAAAUCUAGACGG
rnacentral:misc_RNA from 1 species